GGCCUCGUAGCUCAGCUGGUAGAGCAUGCGCGUACAAAGCGUAGGCGGUGUUCAUGCGUGGGUUUGAAUCACACCGAGGUUG
rfam:Echinostoma caproni strain Egypt genome assembly, scaffold: ECPE_scaffold0001304